CUGCUCAGAUUUGACGCUGGCGGCAGGCUUAACACAUGCAAGUCGAGCGGGGAAAGGUAGCUUGCUACCUAACCUAGCGGCGGACGGGUGAGUAAUGCUUAGGAAUCUGCCUAUUAGUGGGGGACAACAUUCCGAAAGGAAUGCUAAUACCGCAUACGUCCUACGGGAGAAAGCAGGGGACCUUCGGGCCUUGCGCUAAUAGAUGAGCCUAAGUCGGAUUAGCUAGUUGGUGGGGUAAAGGCCUACCAAGGCGACGAUCUGUAGCGGGUCUGAGAGGAUGAUCCGCCACACUGGGACUGAGACACGGCCCAGACUCCUACGGGAGGCAGCAGUGGGGAAUAUUGGACAAUGGGGGGAACCCUGAUCCAGCCAUGCCGCGUGUGUGAAGAAGGCCUUUUGGUUGUAAAGCACUUUAAGCGAGGAGGAGGCUCUUCUAGUUAAUACCUAGGAUGAGUGGACGUUACUCGCAGAAUAAGCACCGGCUAACUCUGUGCCAGCAGCCGCGGUAAUACAGAGGGUGCGAGCGUUAAUCGGAUUUACUGGGCGUAAAGCGUGCGUAGGCGGCUGAUUAAGUCGGAUGUGAAAUCCCUGAGCUUAACUUAGGAAUUGCAUUCGAUACUGGUCAGCUAGAGUAUGGGAGAGGAUGGUAGAAUUCCAGGUGUAGCGGUGAAAUGCGUAGAGAUCUGGAGGAAUACCGAUGGCGAAGGCAGCCAUCUGGCCUAAUACUGACGCUGAGGUACGAAAGCAUGGGGAGCAAACAGGAUUAGAUACCCUGGUAGUCCAUGCCGUAAACGAUGUCUACUAGCCGUUGGGGCCUUUGAGGCUUUAGUGGCGCAGCUAACGCGAUAAGUAGACC
rnacentral:rRNA from 1 species